CAAAAAGGAAGUAAAUAUAAAUAAAUCUGAGGAUUCACUUGGUCUCACCAUUACAGAUAAUGGUACUGGCUAUGCUUUUAUAAAGAUCCUUAUCUGCUACUUCUGAUUAUUUACCUGUGCUUUGAUGUUUUUCUUGCCCACCUGGAUUCUCGCCUUGCUACUUGGACUUCUGAGAAUUAAAGAUGGUAGCCUAAUUGACUCCAUUAAAACCAUCUGUGUGGGGGAUCAUAUUGAAUCCAUAAAUGGAGAAGAUAUCAUU